rnacentral:rRNA from 1 species
UCAAGCAGAAGACGGCAUACGAGAUAAGCUAGUGACUGGAGUUCAGACGUGUGCUCUUCCGAUCUGGGUGACGAGCGGCGGACGGGUGAGUAAUGUCUGGGAAACUGCCUGAUGGAGGGGGAUAACUACUGGAAACGGUAGCUAAUACCGCAUAAUGUCGCAAGACCAAAGUGGGGGACCUUCGGGCCUCAUGCCAUCAGAUGUGCCCAGAUGGGAUUAGCUAGUAGGUGGGGUAAUGGCUCACCUAGGCGACGAUCCCUAGCUGGUCUGAGAGGAUGACCAGCCACACUGGAACUGAGACACGGUCCAGACUCCUACGGGAGGCAGCAGUGGGGAAUAUUGCACAAUGGGCGCAAGCCUGAUGCAGCCAUGCCGCGUGUGUGAAGAAGGCCUUCGGGUUGUAAAGCACUUUCAGCGGGGAGGAAGGCGUUAAGGUUAAUAACCUUGGCGAUUGACGUUACCCGCAGAAGAAGCACCGGCUAACUCCGUGCCAGCAGCCGCGGUAAUACGGAGGGUGCAAGCGUUAAUCGGAAUUACUGGGCGUAAAGCGCACGCAGGCGGUCUGUCAAGUCGGAUGUGAAAUCCCCGGGCUCAACCUGGGAACUGCAUUCGAAACUGGCAGGCUAGAGUCUUGUAGAGGGGGGUAGAAUUCCAGGUGUAGCGGUGAAAUGCGUAGAGAUCUGGAGGAAUACCGGUGGCGAAGGCGGCCCCCUGGACAAAGACUGACGCUCAGGUGCGAAAGCGUGGGGAGCAAACAGGAUUAGAUACCCUGGUAGUCCACGCCGUAAACGAUGUCGAUUUGGAGGUUGUGCCCUUGAGGCGUGGCUUCCGGAGCUAACGCGUUAAAUCGACCGCCUGGGGAGUACGGCCGCAAGGUUAAAACUCAAAUGAAUUGACGGGGGCCCGCACAAGCGGUGGA